GCGCCCUUAGUGAAACGGAUAUCACGCCAGUCUUCGGAACUGGUAUUGGGGGUUCAAAUCCCUCAGGGCGCACCA
rnacentral:tRNA from 2 species